AAUGUAAAAGUAGAGUAAACACUUAAACUCGAUUUUAUUGCUCAUAAUUUAAUGAAAAAUUAUUGUGCUGAUGCUGGUUAAUGACUAUGUUCUUUAGGCGUUGUCAACUUUAUUUAAAUUCAAUUUCUUUUGAUGAGGGUUAGUUCAGUGUUUGAAGCUUCUGGCGAAAAAGAGUUUAAAAGAGGUUGAAAUUUUAAUUAAGCCAGUUAAUUUCAAAUUCGAUUUUCGUUUAAGUGUUCGGAUCUU